rnacentral:rRNA from 1 species
UACGGAGGGUGCAAGCGUUAAUCGGAAUUACUGGGCGUAAAGCGCACGCAGGUGGCUGAGUCAGUCGAUUGUGAAAGCCCUGGGCUUAACCUGGGAAUUGCGGUCGAUACUACUCAGCUAGAGUAUGGGAGAGGGCAGUGGAAUUCCCGGUGUAGCGGUGAAAUGCGUAGAUAUCGGGAGGAACAUCAGUGGCGAAGGCGGCUGCCUGGACCACAACUGACGCUGAGGCGCGAAAGCUAGGGGAGCAAACAGG